CACGUAGGGCGCAAGCGUUGUCCGGAAUUAUUGGGCGUAAAGAGCUCGUAGGUGGUUUGCUGCGUCCGCUGUGAAAACCCAAGGCUUAACCUUGGGCUUGCAGUGGAUACGGGCAGACUAGAGGUAGGGAGGGGAGAAUGGAAUUCCCGGUGUAGCGGUGAAAUGCGCAGAUAUCGGGAGGAACACCGGUGGCGAAGGCGGUUCUCUGGGCCUUACCUGACA
rnacentral:rRNA from 1 species